UCUGCUUCUUCUGCACCCUUUGGAGAAUCUUUUAAAAUAACGCUUUUAGAGCUUUAGAUACAUUUACUGUCACUUAAGAUUAGUUCAGGAAGCGGAAGGGGGAUAGAAAUCCUGCACGGUGUGGACAAAUUGGACAGAAAUACGCUCCGCUGCUGCCAUUCUCUGUGAGAUGGUGGUUCGUGAGGAGGCCGCCCAGGUGCAGCAGCGUGAGGCCGGCCGUUUCGCCCCGCAGCCUGGCAGCAGGCAGGGCAGGGCCCGCUGGCGGCUCUGCAGCUCGCCGCGUUCAGCCAUCAUGCCGCCACAUCCCUGUUUUACCAGAGAGUGCCAUGUGAAAGCUGCGUGUCAUUUUUUGUGGGCAUUGCCUUUUGGGCAUCACUUUGCCGCAUAUACGUACAAGGACAGUCAUGGCAGUGCGCACUUCCCCACUGGGCGUUUUGUGCUGUUCAGCAAUUAGUCAGCUGAGAGCUUGUUCAGAUGAAGAAGGAUUUUGAGUAG